AGUAUUUAAAACAGGAAUGACUCCAAAGUGCAAAAUGUUAACCGCUAUCCACUGAAAAGACAUAAACAAUCCCACCACUGAAGCUCCUUUCAAUUGCAAAACUGUGGAGUUUACACAAUGAAUUAUAUGGCCUCACUUUUAUCAGAUGAAGCUUCAAGAUCAAGUCUCUCUACACCAAAAUCAGCUUUCAGUUUCCAUGGAACCAACUGAUAGAUGCCCCUACCUGAGGCCUGGUGGGUCAGAUAUCUCUAUUCACUUCACCCUUGGAUGACUAUCUUCACCUUUCUAGAGUUCUUAGUCAAGCACAAGCGAAAAGGGGAAACUUCAGUUUUUAUUUGCCAAAAAAAGAGAGAGGAAAAUAUGUCCUUGAAGCAAAGGAGCAAGACUUAGUUAGUUUGAAGCACAUUAAAGAAGACUACAGAGGAGAAGGCAAAAUGUACUUAUUUUAAAAUGUUCUCCAGCUUAGUUGUAUACACAUUUUCUUCACUGUUAUCUAGACUUAACUUUAUUUUAAAAUAUUUCAAGAUAAGACAAAAAUAUAUAAUAACAUAUGGAUACUAAUCAAAUGUUACCAAUACAUUGGAGUCCCCCUCAUCCUCCCAGAUAUAAUACAAUCCCCUCUUGCCACCACACAGGUAAGCACUAUCCUGAAUGUCAAAUUUUUUCUGACAUUUGCUUAUUUCUCUCAAAAUUCUGUAUGUGAGUUAUACCUUUGUUUAUACAUGUAGCACUAUUUUAUUCAUUUUUAUUGCUAUACACUAUAAUUAUGCUAUGAAUUGAAUUAUGUACCCUCUAAUUUCAUAGGUUGAAGUCCUAACCCCCAAUAUGAUUGUAUUUGGAGAUAGAGACUUUAGGAGUUAAAGAAGGUUGUUAGGUCAUAAAGAUGGGGCCCUAAUUCCAUAGAACUAAUAGCUUUAUAAGAAGAGGAACAAAGAGAAGCCUCUUUCUUCAAGCACAUGCACAGGGGGAAGACCAUACAAAAAUAUGAUAACCAUCUAUAAGCGAGUCAGAGAGCUCUCACCAAAAAAACAAAUCAGGCAGAACCUUAAUCUUAGACUUUCAGCCUCCAGAUCUGUGUUAAAAUAAACUUCUGUUGUUAAAGUCACAUUAAGUUUAUGGUAUUUUGCAUGGAAACCUGAGCAGACUAAUUAAAAAAAUUAAUAUCACAUCCUUUCUUCUUAAUGUAUAUCUAAGCAUGCAAUUACAUGUCUAAUAAAGCUUGGUUAAUAGAAAUGUUAUGCAUAGGUACUUGGAAAUGAGAAAAUAUACUCAAUUUUUUAUUUACUAAAUAUUUUUAUUUAUUUAUUUAUUUUGAGACAGGGUCUCAUCCUCUCACCUAGGCUGAAGUGCAGUGGUGUGAUCAUGGCUCACUGAAGCCUCAAUAUCCUGGUCUUAAGCCAUCCUCCCACCUCAGCGUCCUAAGUAGCUGGGACUACAAUCACACACCACCAAGCCCAGCUAAUUUUGUACUUUUUUUGUAGAGACUCAGUCUGGUCUUGAACUCCCAGGCUCAAGUGAUUUUCCUGCCUCGGCCUCCAAAUUGCUUGGAUUACAGGCAUGAACUACUGUGACCGGCCAACUAAAUUAUUUUUAAAAAAAUAAUUGUAC
rnacentral:lncRNA from 10 species